rnacentral:rRNA from 1 species
GGCGCACGGGUGAGCGUAACACGUAGGAUAAUCUAGCCUGGAAGACCGGAAUAACCUUGGGAAACCUUGGCUAAUACCGGAUAAGACCACGGGGACUUCGGUCCUUGAGGGAAAAGGUGGCCUCUGUAUACAAGCUAUCACUUCCAGAUAGAGUCCGCGGCCCAUCAGCUAGUUGGCGGGGUAAUGGCCCACCAAGGCAACGACGGGUAGCUAGGUCUAGAGAGGACGAUCAGCCACACUGGAACUGAGACACGGUCCAGACUCCUACGGGAGGCAGCAGUGGGGAAUUUUGCACAAUGGGCGAAAGCCUAGAUAGCAGCAACGCCGCGUAGUAGUAGAUAGAAGGUCUAUCGGAUCGUAAAGCACUAUUCGACCGGGACGAACACCUACUAUGGCUAACAUACCAAGAGCCUAGACGGUAACCGGGAGAAGAAGCACCGGCUAACUCUAGUAGCCAGCCGCCGCGG